rnacentral:lncRNA from 1 species
CUACAAAACAUGGUCAGUUUCAUAUUUUUAAUAAAAACUAGACAUCUCAAGGAGCACAACAAAAUUUGGUUCACCAAAAUUGGAGCUACCAAACUCUAGAUAUGAAUUUUCAAACAUUCAACAAAACAUCUACAAACAAGUCCUUAUAGCACUAUUCACCUGAGUCACAGUCUCUGCAAUUAGACCCCUGGGAAACAUCAAAUUGUCGCCCGAAGUCCCUGGCCGCGACUGAAAACAGAGGAACUCGCCGGAGAUCGUGGUUUCGGCGCUGGAGUGCUCGUCGGCGGCAUUGGAGCAGCGGGGAAGCUCGCCCGGACUAGUGCGCACCUGAUGGUGGCCGUAGCUUGUCCUGCAAUGGCUCGAGGUGGCCUGUCCACGUUGAGGUGCUCCUCGGCGGCGUUUUCAGCCGGAGCUGAGGAAGAAAGACGGCGCCCGGGCGAUUGAGAGGGGCAGGGAGGGUUCCUGGGCGUACACGGGGUUCGCAAGGAUAUGGCGAAGGUGUUGGAGAACUCGAAUUGGCCAGAGGGGUUGCGUGUAGAGGGUAUUGGACGGUGGAGCUUCACUGGGUGCUUUCGGUCGCCGGAGUAAGUGAGCUCGAGGUCGGCCGCGCAGGCGCUCAAGAGGUCGAGACGCAGAGGUCACGGGCGUCCACGUCGCGCGGUGACGCGGCCGGCAAGCAGCUGCGUGGCGGCGAGGCGCGCACGCGGCGCUGCACGGCCUGCGGCCGCGCGGUGACUGGACUCGUGAUCCAUAUCCGGAUACUGUAGCAAGCUUUAUCCAACCAGUUUUGUGGUUUUGCAAAAUUCGUCCAAAAUUUGAACUGAAGACAAAAUUCCACCAAAACAAAAGUUAUUCAGAAUUUUACAAACUACAAAUCUUCUUUUGGUGACCAAAGCCAAUUCUGGGUGGAAAAUGACGAAUUUGACAAAACAGUUUGAAUUUCAAAUCCCAAAUUGGGGAAAUUCCAAAUUUUGAAUUGGAGCAGAUUAGAAUUUCCAAAAUUACUUUUAAUUUUUCCAAACAACUUGAAAAACUCCCAACAUGAAAGUUGUUCAACUUUUUGAGCCCUACAACUUUCAUGUUGACCACUUUUCAAAAUUCCAAAUAGAUUUUGAAUUGGGGAUUCAAAUCGGAAAAGGGAACAAUUUCGGGAAAAUUGUAUUUUCAAAAUUACUUUAAAUUUUGUACUGAAACUUCAAAAACUCAAAACACCAAAGUUGUACAUCUUGACAAGAUCUACAACUUUGCUUUUGAACUCAACUUCAAAUUUUGCUUUGUUUUUUGAAUUGCACAAAAGGGGCAAAUCUAGGUUUUUGAAAUUAGGGUUUCCCCCCUUAAGUCUUUCGGAAAAACUUUCACCCAGGGUUUUAAUCACCAACACAAACAUCCAUACACAAUAUAAGCACACUUUAAUUUCCUAAGCACAAUCAACCAAAAUAACCUUAUUUUAAGUGGAUGCAUAAUAAUGUGCUUAACAAAUAUGCUUUGCAAUGCUUAUGAUGACAUGAUCCAGUUUUAGUGUUUGUAACAUCAGGGAUGUUACAGCCCUUCCCCCUUAAAGAAAUCUCGUCCCGAGAUUUCCAGGGUACUAAAACCCAUGGGGUUAAGUAAUGGAAAAGGAAAUGUGUCAAGCACAUUAACUUUUGAGAAGUUCAUACAACAAUUACGAUUGGUCCGAGAAUUACAACUAAGAUCAACAAGAAGUUGUAAUCAAUCAGGAAUUUUAGAGAAUUCAUACGAAGAUAUGAAUCUCCAAAUGAGCUUCCAAGGAGGAUGAAAGCACACUAACAGUAGAUUAUAGUGGAGCAUGACCAGAGAUCCCGAUGUUUAACGAGGACCCUGUAGUAUUUCCUUAUGGCUGCAGUCCACAGGAGACUACAAGGCUCGACGUUAUAACGUGAUCACGGAUCAUGAUACCUACUAUAGAGUACGGUUACAAUAGCUUUCAAUGACCUAUGUUGGUUAUCCAAGUCAGGGGCUUUAGGUAAUUCCAAAGAGAUAUGGGCAUGGAUUCCCAUAAUAUGAUCCAAAGAGUGAGGUCACCUAAGUUGUGGGUCUAUAAGGGAUCAUGAUCAUAGACUUUGAUAACAGCGAGCGCCCAGCAGUAUUUCCUUAUGGUCGCGAGCCAUAGGAGACCCCAGGUUUCGGCGCUGUUACCUAAGUUAUGGGUCAUGGUACCUUAAGAGGACACAAUCAUAGUGACAUUCAAUCAACAGAAAUGUUGACAAAUGACAUCAAGGAGGUAGCAUGUGUCCGAAUUAGAUGAAAUCAAGGAAGGUCACAUGCAUAACAAAUGAAUCAAGGAUUAGGAUCUUAUGGAGUAAAAGAUUAUCAAUCAGUUAACGAAACCUGGUACAUGAUGAGAUUCAUCAAUAAAACAGCUAUAACGAAUAAUAACUGUUUUUGAAGCAUAAGGAGGGGCUUUUAAGUAUCAUUAUAUUGUCAUGUUAUGCAUGAUAUGCAAUAUGCUCGCCUAUACGUCUUUACAACGUUAGCUAGGAGGUAACUACUUAUAUAGGGCAUACUUUAUACAUUAUCUUUAUUGCUCUGGACGGAAUGUUGCAAGACUUUUGACAAAGCAUUGUUGGAGUAGUUUGAUUCUUCACUCGGCUUGUUGAAGAAAAAUUGAAGUCCCUUUCAAUGCCUUCUAUUUGAGUCGACAGAAAGUCUUCGUAGAACGGGGACAGCAAGCAUAAGAAAAGUUAAGGAGCAUUUAUAAGUCGUUAUCCUCAAAAACUUUUAAUUUGUAAAUUCCUUUUGAAGUUUUUCACAAGUAAUGUUGCAGAAGAUCCAUGUAUGAGCUCUGAUACCAGCUGUGGCAGAACCACCCUAAUUAUAUGGCCCACAUGCACUUGACAUUGUCCUUAAGACCUCUGACUACUGCACAUGAGAGUCAUAUAACUUGGAUAGUCUGUCGGGUGCCCUCGGAGGACCCCGAAUCAUCCACAUUUUAACUCGUACAGGAUCAACAUGGAGUUACCACAACAUUACAACAUUUGUUACAAAAAUAACUUACAUCAGAGUGCGGAAGAUUUAUAACUUAAUUUACAACAUAUGAUGAAGUAUAAACUUAACUAAAUUUCCAAAAGGUGUAUAGAGUAGCGGAAGCAUCUUAGGUGAAGCUUCUAAGGUAGAAGAGGUGGAUAAAUCAUGUCGCGCCCACCGACAUGACCUCCAUUAGCAGACUAAGUCAGCACCUGCAACAGGGGUUAUAAAACCCUGAGUACAAAAGUACUCAACAAGACUUAACCGACUAGAAAAGAGGUGAAGACUCAGGUAUGCAGGCUAUAGGGAUUCAAGGUAAAGCUUUAUCAAGAUAAAGCAUUUCUUUUGCAUAAAAGCUUACUAAGAUUAAACCUACUUUCAAGUUUUAACUCAAGGUUAUCAUUUAUGACUAACCAAAACUAUUAUCAAACUUGCAUAAGCAUACCACAUCUUUCUUAUACCAAAGAUUCACUUGUUACUACGAUGAUGGUGUGAGGAUUGAGGCUCCAUAUCCGAGGAAACACGGCGAUUCGAAUCGAUUAAACCCAGCUGAGGAUUCAGUACCACACGACAUAUGUAGAACUUAAUCUUGCAUAUGUCAACCUGUUUCUAUAGAUCCUCCCAUACAAGAACGGGUCCAGCGUCACCCGAGAGUACAGUACACCACCAUUCUACAGCCAAUCUAGAUGUUUCCCGGUCAUCUCAGAUCCGUAAGGUGGGUACACGCUACUCUCGCCAUCUCUCCACUCCCAGUACGCGGUUAGCCGUUCUCGAGUAUCGGAAUAGCUAUAGGUAAGGCUUACCGCCGCAUGUGGGCUGUACUCAAAGGUCUCAAUCACAACAGGCCAAUCAACGGUACGGUCCUUAAUCGACUCAGUUGGAGACACUACUUUAAGACUCCAUUCUUAAAGCAAGUCCACCGACCGGUCUCAAGUUGAACAUUAUUGACCUUAAAAGUAUUCCACAACAACCCUUCAAACUUUCUCAUUUGAAAACCUAUCUCAUAAGCAGGGCUAAGCAUACUAAGCAUUUUCAUAAAGCGAGUACCAAGGUUAAUAUUGAAAUCAUCAAGGUAGAUAAUGCAGCAAAUAGGAUUCACUCAACUCCUAUUCACCUAAUGCAUCAUAUUAACUCAAGUGAUAUAAAUACUUUAUGAAAAUACAAGGAUAGGGUUUAAUGUCCGGGGCUUGCCUUGGCCGGAAGGGAAGUCCGACAACUCAGCAAAACCAGAUGGAUCCACAAACUCGGAAGCAACCCACUGAGGAUUAGAUUCCUCCGGAGCGUAGUCUACACGUAGAGUUGCAUAUGCAUGAUCAAUGAGAUGUUCAUGACAUGAUAAAGACAGGUUACAAGUUCUUGGAUGAUAACAACAAACAUAACUACCUCGAGUACAACUUACCUUCACGGUAUAGAAAUAAACUAACUUAGCUAUCAAAACAUAGAUUACUACUAAGCAAAUUUUAUCAUUUUCAUGAAGCAAGGCUGUAUAGAUAUCAGGCAACAAAGAUCAUUUAUAUGAAAUAAUCCAUAACCAGGGAGCAUAUCAUGCCAAGUACCCACUGGUUAUCAAUCAAUCCUAAAGAUCAAUCAAAACCUAAUAUGAUUAGGCUUUCUAUUUAUCUUAAUCAAUCCUUAAUUAAAUAUUAAUGGCAGUAAUUAAGUAUUAACAUCAAACAAUAAUUAAGUGCCAAAGGUCAUUGAAAGAUAAUGACCUCAGGUCAUCACCCAAUCCCAAAAGCACUCAAAUUCUAAUUUGGAAAUUAAGCAACUCAUUAUUUAAGUAAAGGCUAGCUAAAAACAAACAACUCUAUUUGCACACAUAACCAGGACAGCAGCAUAUACACAACUUCAUUCAACCAUAAUUAGAGAUCCAAACAUCCAAUAAAGGUGAUAUUAGACUUUCUGGAAAGCUUAUAUAAUUUUCUACAACUUUGUUAUUAUCUUCGAGAACUGAUUUAAUAGAUAACAUGGCCAAACAUUAUGAAUAAACAAUUUUGUCCAGACCUUGGACAGAAUCAGACAUUAAGCUUCAUACAUCUAUAACCAGAGUUCUAGAUCACCAAAAGUCAUGAUCCAUAACAUUUUGGAAAGCUUAUGAAAAUUACUACAAUUCAUCUUUUAUCAUGAAAGCAUGAUUCAUAAGUUUAGUAGGUUGAAAUUGCACAACUACAGAAACUGAUCCAGGAUUUGACAGAAAGAAACCAUUUCUGAAACUUAAAUUUAAACAGACAUCACUCAGAAACUAUAGGGCCAAAUGCCACCAAAAUUUAACACCAGCUAGAUACAUGAAUUCUAUACAACUUUGUUAUAGACAAGUUUCAUAUCCAACAUUAUUUACCUAGAGCAAUUCAUAAGGUUCCAGAAACUGUCCAGAAAUCACUAAUAAUUUAAUUAUAGACAAAUAACAUUUCAUUUAUGUUUCAAACUUGGACCUGGGCAAAACCCAGCUCACCAAUAGUUGAAAUACAUCAAAGAGAUACUAGAAAAUAUCAUGGUCAUCCCUAAAUAAAUUCUUUUUAUGUCUUUAUUAAUUUAUUUAGAUAAACAGACAAAGUAAUAACCAUAUAUCAAAAGUACACAAUAAAAUCUGAGAAAACUACAGAAGCACAUAUAUGCUCUCCAAAGUCUACUGUAUAAAUUUCAUACCAUUUGUAUAAGUAUAGCAAUUUCCAUGAAAAAGAUAAAUUUCCAUCACAAGAAAGCAUGUAGCAUCAAGAUAAAUAAGAAACUCGACAUUUUCUACAAACACAUAGCUAAAUUAUGUAUCUGUAUGAUAUAAAGACCUCAUAUAAAGGCAGUGGAACCAUAUUUUACAUUUAUUUAUUUUUAGUUUAAUUUUAAACUAUUUAAUAAGCAUUAAACAAGAUAAAUUAAUAACUUAACCAUAUAUCAUCUACUGAACAUGAAAUUUUUACUGCAACAUUCACAUAACAUCAUGAGAACACCAUAAAAAUUUCAGGGCAAUAGGAUCUAUACAGAAUAAGAUAUGAAUUUCUCCUUUUUAAACAUAAUUAAAAGGCAUAAAUCAUAACCAAUUAUUUUACUACAAAACAUGGUCAGUUUCAUAUUUUUAAUAAAAACUAGACAUCUCAAGGAGCACAACAAAAUUUGGUUCACCAAAAUUGGAGCUACCAAACUCUAGAUAUGAAUUUUCAAACAUUCAACAAAACAUCUACAAACAAGUCCUUAUAGCACUAUUCACCUGAGUCACAGUCUCUGCAAUUAGACCCCUGGGAAACAUCAAAUUGUCGCCCGAAGUCCCUGGCCGCGACUGAAAACAGAGGAACUCGCCGGAGAUCGUGGUUUCGGCGCUGGAGUGCUCGUCGGCGGCAUUGGAGCAGCGGGGAAGCUCGCCCGGACUAGUGCGCACCUGAUGGUGGCCGUAGCUUGUCCUGCAAUGGCUCGAGGUGGCCUGUCCACGUUGAGGUGCUCCUCGGCGGCGUUUUCAGCCGGAGCUGAGGAAGAAAGACGGCGCCCGGGCGAUUGAGAGGGGCAGGGAGGGUUCCUGGGCGUACACGGGGUUCGCAAGGAUAUGGCGAAGGUGUUGGAGAACUCGAAUUGGCCAGAGGGGUUGCGUGUAGAGGGUAUUGGACGGUGGAGCUUCACUGGGUGCUUUCGGUCGCCGGAGUAAGUGAGCUCGAGGUCGGCCGCGCAGGCGCUCAAGAGGUCGAGACGCAGAGGUCACGGGCGUCCACGUCGCGCGGUGACGCGGCCGGCAAGCAGCUGCGUGGCGGCGAGGCGCGCACGCGGCGCUGCACGGCCUGCGGCCGCGCGGUGACUGGACUCGUGA